UCUCCAACUUCCUCACACAAAUCCUGAACUACUCCCAGGUGUCGGAGUCGGGGAAGCAGUUCGUGAAGCGUCUCAGUGACGUGAUGGUCCAGUCCACGCUGUUUGUACCUGACAACAACGGCCUGCCUGCCAACCAGACUCUGUCUCAGCGGGCCAUUGAGUUC